rnacentral:rRNA from 1 species
CCUGGGGAGUACGGCCGCAAGGUUAAAACUCAAAUGAAUUGACGGGGGCCCGCACAAGCGGUGGAGCAUGUGGUUUAAUUCGAUGCAACGCGAAGAACCUUACCUGGUCUUGACAUCCACAGAACUUUCCAGAGAUGGAUUGGUGCCUUCGGGAACUGUGAGACAGGUGCUGCAUGGCUGUCGUCAGCUCGUGUUGUGAAAUGUUGGGUUAAGUCCCGCAACGAGCGCAACCCUUAUCCUUUGUUGCCAGCGGUCCGGCCGGGAACUCAAAGGAGACUGCCAGUGAUAAACUGGAGGAAGGUGGGGAUGACGUCAAGUCAUCAUGGCCCUUACGACCAGGGCUACACACGUGCUACAAUGGCAUAUACAAAGAGAAGCGACC